rnacentral:rRNA from 1 species
CUCCUACGGGACGCAGCAGUGGGGAAUAUUGGGCAAUGGGCGCAAGCCUGACCCAGCAAUGCCGCGUGAAGGAAGAAGGCUUUCGGGUUGUAAACUUCUUUGACAGGGGAAGAGCAGAAGACGGUACCCUGAAAACAAGCCACGGCUAACUACGUGCCAGCAGCCGCGGUAAUACGUAGGUGGCGAGCGUCAUCCGGAAUGAUUGGGCGUAAAGGGUGCGUAGGCGGCCUGCUAAGUCUGGAGUGAAAGGUACCGGCUCAACCGGUACAGGCUCUGGAAACUGGCGGGCUAGAGAGCAGGAGAGG